rnacentral:SRP_RNA from 1 species
UACCGGUCCCCCCGCAACGAUUACCCGUGACCCUAGUCAGAUCCGCAAGGAAGCAGCCACGGCGGGAACAUCGUGUUCCGGGGUGCGGCUGCCAGGA